rnacentral:rRNA from 1 species
UACGUAGGGGGCAAGCGUUAUCCGGAUUUACUGGGUGUAAAGGGAGCGUAGACGGCUUUGCAAGCCAGAUGUGAAAGCCCGGGGCUCAACCCCGGGACUGCAUUUGGAACUGUAUGGCUGGAGUGUCGGAGAGGCAGGCGGAAUUCCUAGUGUAGCGGUGAAAUGCGUAGAUAUUAGGAGGAACACCAGUGGCGAAGGCAGCCUGCUGGACGAUGACUGACGUUGAGGCUCGAAAGCGUGGGGAGCAAACAGG